rnacentral:rRNA from 1 species
UACGUAGGGUGCAAGCGUUAAUCGGAAUUACUGGGCGUAAAGCGUGCGCAGGCGGUGAUGUAAGACAGAUGUGAAAUCCCCGGGCUCAACCUGGGAACUGCAUUUGUGACUGCAUCGCUGGAGUACGGCAGAGGGGGAUGGAAUUCCGCGUGUAGCAGUGAAAUGCGUAGAUAUGCGGAGGAACACCGAUGGCGAAGGCAAUCCCCUGGCCUGUACUGACGCUCAUGCACGAAAGCGUGGGGAGCAAACAGG